ACUGGGGAUUAAGCCCGCAACCCGGGCAUGUGCCUUGACCGGGAAUCAAACCAUAACCUCCUGGUUCAUAGGUUGGUGCUCAACCACUGAGCCAUUGGGCCAGGCUACUCUGUGGUAUUCUGUACUAACCUGACAAGUCUGUGCAGCUCCUGUCAUUUUAAUAUUUUUCUCCCCUCACCCCAAUGCCUGAUCAUGUCUGUGUUGUUGAAGGACCUGGUGACUGGUUUGUCACUUGAAAAGUACUGGAAGGAGUUCCAAAGCUCAGCUAAUGUUCUCAUUUCAAAUUUUACACAGUCUUUGCGGGACUAAUGAUCAUAAGCCACAGAAGCGGAAGAACUAAGCCCGGAGACACAAUGUCCUCCCAUGGAAACACCGUGCUGUCUGGCUCAUGGCAAGUGAAAGCAGAACUGGGAGAGAAAGCAUUUUAUCUUAAAAUACAAUGAGACAGAGAACAGAUGUGAGAGCAGGUGAUGGCAAAGUGAAAGAGGUUCUGCCCCGAGCAGCCUUGAUGUCAGUACAUCUUGGCUUGCUUCCCUGGAGCUGUAAUUGUGCAGUUGGGUUUUGAUGGAGCCAGAUUCCCAGGGGAUAAUGUUGCUCAGCUCCUAAGACCCAAUUAAGGGUGACUCAGUGCAUCAAGCCUCCUUUGCAGGGGCAUCUGAGCAGCCCUGGGGCAGUCUUGAAUCUGCAACGUGAACAAGUGUCCUCCACUGGUAUAGACUCCGGUGUUUGACCUGGGCCAGGCGGAGAUUGUUGCCAAGGCUGUGCUAAAAUUUUAUGACGUCUUUGCAUAAAAGUUAUUAAGACUUUCAACAUGGAGACCCCAGGGUGUUAAACCAAUCAUGAGGCCCUUCUAAAUGUGGGGCCCUGUGUGACACCCAUGAAGGCACACUUGUUUGGCAGGCAUCCCCCUCACUUGUCACCAGCCUUCGUGUGACCAUGGCUGCUUAUGCCUUCUACCCUCUGGAAAAACCCAGGCACUUUCACCAGCUCACCCUGGUCCCAAAAGGAGAAGAAAGAGCUUACCCUAAUUCUAGCCGGAGCCUCCCCUCCUGUGUCCUCGUCCCCUGUCCCCACAUCAACCUUCUCCUUGGGUGGUUGAAAGCUGGGUCAUCUAUUCCCUCUACAGGAAAGUCUGCUCUCACCCAAAGGGUGAGGUCUGGCUUCAGGGCCCCAAUAAGUCAGUAAUUUUAUAGGGUGACAUCAGCUCAUUGCCUAAAGUCCAGUUAUUAAUAACCUAAGUCUGAUUAUGCAGUCUUUUUUGGGGGGGGAGGGAAGGGAGAGGAAGAGAUAGAGAGAAACAUUGAUUUCAGAGUGAAACAUAUCAACUGCCUCCUGCAUGCCCCCGUGGGGGAUCAAGCGUGCAACCCAGACAAGUGCUUGGGCUGGGAAUCAAACCAGCAACCUUUUGGUGCACCAGAAGACACCCAACCAACUGAAUCACACUGGCCAGGGCUGGUUAUUCGUUCUUAAAUGACACCAUGUGUGAGACACAACUAGCCCAGCUGAGGUGAGAGAAUGACAAGUUUAUUCCUUUUUCAGUCACUUCUCACUGAGGACAUAAAAAUAUUGGGACCCAGCCUCCCCUGUGAUGACCCUGGGAGCAGCGGCUGUGGCUUCAGGGCUACCUACAGCUACCACCACCCCUGUCUUCUGGGAAAUCAAGCUCCUCCACUCAUCUCCAGGGCUGGGCAUGUGACCCAUUUCAGUCCAAUGAACGUUGGGUCUAGGUUGAGAGACCCAGAGAGGAAAACCCAUGCCAUUGCUCAGGUCACCAGACCCAACUGGCCAGCACCCCCAGGCUUCUCAGUUGCGUGAGCCAAUGAACUCUCUUUCUGCUUCAGAUGGUUUCAGUUAGGGGGUUUGCUUUGCCUUUAAAAGGCUCUUAACAACAAAAGAGAUGGAGGGACUGAGAGCAAGAACAUGUCAUCACUGGCCCUGCUUAUACCUUGUGAAAGGAGGUGUGUGUGUGUGUGUGUGUGUGUGUGUGUGUGUGUACACAGAUGGCAGCCAGGGGCAGAGGUGCAGAAAGCAAGAAGAAUUAAGAGCUUAAACAUGACUUGGUUCAAGACACCUAAAAUUAUACAAGUGAUAAAGACAUGGAAAGGCAUUUGCAGAAGCAGAUGUUGUUAAACAACAUCUCCACCUGGAUGGGAAAAGCUGUCCCUGCUGAGCAGAAAUGCAAAUAAGAGGAGGGAACAGACGUGGGCAUCAAGGUCAGGGCAUAGGAACCACUUGCUAGGGGAACUCUGGAGCUCCACGUAUUCCAACAAUUAUACCAUUAUUUCCCCUGGGAGGAUGGACCCAGGCUGCGCCCCGCUGGGAAGGGCAUUGCUGCCUCCUCCACCCUCUCCUGUGGGCACAGGGAGGGCUUCUCUGGCCUGAGCGGGGAGGUGGAGACAGGGCAGGCCGGGUAAAUUUAGAGCCACUUCAAGUGUCCGUUUCACACUUCCCCCACUGGGUGCUCACCUCUGGUUGUUUACCUCUGGCCAAGCUGGGCUUCCUGCCCUGAAAAUGGAGGAAGUCAGAGCCCUUCCCCAGAGUAGCUUAGAAGAGGAAACAUCAGCACACCAACCGUCAUGCGUUUCAGGAACUUUCUCAUGAGAGGCCCCAGGGACUCUGCAGAGAGGGGAGCGCACAGAGUGUGAAAAUGACGCUGGGGGUGGGUCUGAGUCACCGUCCUGUCCUUUACUGCUCAGACUGUCCAGGGGACCAGCCAGCGCCACUCCCUGUGCCAGCUGCCUGCCCUGGGAUCUGGGCAGGACCCACAAUACAGCAAUGACCAGUGACGUAACCUGCACUUCAUCUAUUUAUCUGAAAGUCUCCCAGCACUCCAGCAAGAGGCCAACAAGCUGCCGGAAAUGUUCUACAGGGAGUGGAGCUGCUCACUCUUCUGGGCUUUCUUGCUUGUUGCUGAGCUGAGGAUGGAGAUGUGGCAACAAGUGGAGACACUGCUUUCAUUUUGGUUACAUGUAUUUUUUCUUAAAAAAACAA